rnacentral:pre_miRNA from 1 species
AUGUUAACGUGUGAUAUGUUAACAUCGGGUUUUUGAAAAACCGAUGUUAACAUGUAUGCAUUAACAU